CCAGAACUGGCAUUAGUGCUCUACGGUUACUGGGGCUGAGAACUGCUYGAGGAAUAAGAGGCAUUAGCAACCCUGCCACCCCCUGCCGCCGCUGUAGCCCGUCUAUAAAUACAGCCGCACCCACGCUUGCAGGCUCCCCCGCUCGCAUCCCCUGCUCCCGCAGCCAGCCUGGCUGCUGCCUGCACAAACAUUUUCAUUCCUUUAAUUCCUCCUGCAGUUGAACGCUGCUCCCUGCAUCCCCGACCCACGCGGGUGUGACAGGAGCCCUCGGGCAGUGGCCGAAGUGAGCUCCGAGCCUGCAUCCUCGCGCCUGAUUUCCUCUCGGCUGCUCUUGGCCCAGCCAGCACAAGGAAAAUGCACCUGCCCCGGGAAGCCRGGUUCCUCCGUCUGCAGCGCACUGCUGGGAUGCGGCGUGACUCCGGGCUCGGGCACCACAGGCUUCCUGGUCCUCUCCUAACGGCUCCACGCGUCCCUGCCGUGCCCGGCGUGGGCUCCUGGCUGCCUGCAGGGGCUGUGGUCUGGCCUGUCCAGCCUAAGCUCAGGGUGCUGAGCAGAGCCCGGGCUAAUAGCCAAGCCCGUGGCCGACAGGAGGGGGGAAGAGCCGGGACAAGCGCUGGCGGCGGCAUUGCUGCGGGUGAGCGGGGAACGCGCGCGUUGCGGGAGGAAUCAGCGGGACCCGUUUGCAAACUUGUUUUCGAGCCCUCGCCGGGGAGGGGAGCCGGGCACGAGCACUGAGAUGCCAUUAUGUAAGGAGCGCCGCAGCGGGAGCCGGCAGCUGGGCCGCUCGGCCCUGCCUGACCCGUGACCGCAGGGAGAGUCGGGGACGGAGCCUCCUGCCCCCUCCUCUCCCGCGGGGGCAGCAAACAGCCCUGCCAGUGUGGCUGCUGCUCGCCAGCCCUCGCCGGGAAAUAAAGGAGAGCAGCGUUCGCA
rnacentral:lncRNA from 1 species